UACGGGGGGGGCAAGCGUUGUUCGGAAUUACUGGGCGUAAAGGGCUCGUAGGCGGCCAACUAAGUCAUACGUGAAAUCCCCAGGCUCAACCUGGGAACUGCGUCUGAUACUGGUUGGCUUGAAUCCGGGAGAGGGAUGCAGAAUUCCAGGUGUAGCGGUGAAAUGCGUAGAUAUCUGGAGGAACACCGGUGGCGAAGGCGGCAUCCUGGACCAAUACUGACACUGAGGAGCGAAAGCCAGGGGAGCAAACGGG
rnacentral:rRNA from 1 species